AUGGUUAUGUACAUUGCAUAUGAGGGCAUUUUUUCUCCCCACCAUCUCUCUCUUUUCUCUCUCUCUCUCUCUCUCUACGAUCUACUCCCCCUUCACUCUCUCUACGAUAUGCUUUCCCAAACAAGAGUGAUCUAAUAACCAAACAAGAUUGAGUAAUAAACAAGUUGCAAGAUGCAAGAUCAAGAUGAAUUGAUCAAAGAUUGAUUAACACAACCACACCAAACUGCCACCAACAACAACCACACGACACCACCACAACCACCAGAUCUACCGUGAACUCGAAUCUCCAGUGGAAUCGGAAGGCGGCGAUUAGGGUUCAAUGACGAAGGGCCCUGAUACAGAGUGGGUGUUUGGAUGAUGAUGGUGGUAGGGGUGCGGGUGGGGGUUGUGCGAUGAGGUUAGGGUUCCGACCAAUGCUUACUCAAAACCACCUGAAUUUGUAAACGUUGGUGCUUUUUUUUUCUUUUGAUUUUGUCAUUAGUAAAGCUACAAAGUGGCUACGGAGAUUGUUGUAAUUGAUGUCAAUAAGGAUUCAAAGAUUCUUAAUGGAACUCAAAUGAGGUUGAUCACGGAGGACACUAAUUGAAGCGUCUCCAAGAGUUCACUUGGAGGGAUUUGAUGAUACUUCAUAUCAAUAUUGUU
rnacentral:lncRNA from 1 species